rnacentral:tRNA from 1 species
AUGGGAAUAGCUAAGUGGUAGAGCGGGGGUUUGUGGAGCCCAAGGUCAAGAGUUCAAAUCUCUUUUCUCAUA